UCCGGUUGAUCCUGCCGGACCUUACUGCUAUCGGGAUAAGACUAAGCCAUGCGAGUUGUGCGCUCUCAAGCUAUGUUGAGAGAGCAGCAAACGGCUCAGUAACACGUAGUUAACCUACCCUCAGGACAGGGAUACCCCCGGGAAACUGGGGAUAAUACCUGAUAGGCGGAAACGCCUGGAAUGGUCCUCCACUGAAAGGGUGUUAGACACAUGCUUUUAACACUGCCUGAGGAUGGGACUGCGGCCGAUCAGGUUGUUGGUGGGGUAACGGCCUACCAAGCCUACAACCGGUACGGGCCCUGAGAGGGGGAGCCCGGAGAUGGGAACUGAGAAACGGUCCCAGGUCCUACGGGACGCAGCAGGCGCGAAACCUCCACAAUGCACGAAAGUGCGAUGGGGUUAUCCCGAGUGCUUUCCGAUGAGGAUGGCUCUUCCUCGGUGUAAAAAGGCGAGGGAAUAAAGGGGGGGCAAGACUGGUGUCAGCCGCCGCGGUAAUACCAGCUCCCUGAGUGGUAGGGAUGAUUAUUUGGCCUAAAGCGUUCGUAGCCGGCUUGGUAAGUCUUCCGUUAAAUCCAGCGACUCAAUCGUUGGUCUGCGGAAGAUACUGCUAGGCUAGAGGACGGGAGAGGUUGACGGUAUUCCCAGUGUAGGGGUGAAAUCCAAUAAUCCUGGGAGGACCACCAGUGGCGAAGGCGGUCAACGAGAACGUGCCUGACGGUGAUGGACGAAAGCUGGGGGAGCGAACCGGAUUAGACACCCGGGUAGUCCCAGCCGUAAACGAUGCGGGCUAGGUGUUAGGGCAGCUACGAGCUGCUCUAGUGCCGCAGAGAAGUCGUUAAGCCCGCCGCCUGGGGAGUACGAUCGCAAGAUUGAAACUUAAAGGAAUUGGCGGGGGAGCACCACAAGGGGUGAAGCCUGCGGUU
rnacentral:rRNA from 1 species